rnacentral:rRNA from 1 species
CUGGAUUCGCUAGUAAUCGCGCAUCAGCCAUGGCGCGGUGAAUACGUUCCCGGGCCUUGUACACACCGCCCGUCAAGCCAUGGAAGCCGGGAGUGCCUGAAGUGCGUGAGCGCAAGCAGCGCCCUAAGGUAAAACCGGUGACUGGGGCUAAGUCGUAACAAGGUAAC